UUGAACGCUGGCGGAAUGCUUUACACAUGCAAGUCGAGCGGCAGCGCGGGGGCAACCCUGGCGGCGAGCGGCGAACGGGUGAGUAAUACAUCGGAACGUACCCAGUUGUGGGGGAUAGCCCGGCGAAAGCCGGAUUAAUACCGCAUAAGUCCUGAGGGAGAAAGCGGGGGACCGUAAGGCCUCGCGCGAUUGGAGCGGCCGAUGUUCGAUUAGCUAGUUGGUGGGGUAAAGGCCUACCAAGGCGACGAUCGAUAGCUGGUCUGAGAGGACGACCAGCCACACUGGAACUGAGACACGGUCCAGACUCCUACGGGAGGCAGCAGUGGGGAAUUUUGGACAAUGGGCGGAAGCCUGAUCCAGCCAUUCCGCGUGAGUGAAGAAGGCCUUCGGGUUGUAAAGCUCUUUCGGCAGGAACGAAACGGUCUUUUCUAAUACAAGAGGCUAAUGACGGUACCUGAAGAAGAAGCACCGGCUAACUACGU
rnacentral:rRNA from 1 species